AUUGAACGCUGGCGGCAUGCUUUACACAUGCAAGUCGAACGGCAGCGCGGGCUUCGGCCUGGCGGCGAGUGGCGAACGGGUGAGUAAUGCAUCGGAACGUGCCCAGUAGUGGGGGAUAGCCCGGCGAAAGCCGGAUUAAUACCGCAUACGACCUGAGGGUGAAAGCGGGGGACCGAAAGACCUCGCGCUAUUGGAGCGGCCGAUGUCGGAUUAGCUAGUUGGUGGGGUAAAGGCUUACCAAGGCGACGAUCCGUAGCUGGUCUGAGAGGACGACCAGCCACACUGGGACUGAGACACGGCCCAGACUCCUACGGGAGGCAGCAGUGGGGAAUUUUGGACAAUGGGGGCAACCCUGAUCCAGCCAUGCCGCGUGCGGGAAGAAGGCCUUCGGGUUGUAAACCGCUUUUGUGCGGGAAGAAAUCCUCUGGGCUAAUACCCCGGGGGGAUGACGGUACCGGAAGAAUAAGCACCGGCUAACUACGUG
rnacentral:rRNA from 1 species